CGUCCUUCCCAUCCCUACACCCCCUCCCCCUCCCCUCACUCCCCACUACACAAACCAAAGUUCCUUCGUUCUUCCCUACCCUUCCACCCCACUAUGAAUCAGCAUCUGCUUAUCAGAGAAAACAUUCGGCUUUUGGUUUUGGGGGGAUUGGCUUCUUUCACUUGGCAUGAUAGUCUCUAGUUCCAUCCACUUACCUGCAAGUGCCAUAAUUUCAUUC
rnacentral:lncRNA from 1 species